GCUUUCUACAGUGUGUGUGUGUGUAUACAUCGAUUAUGCUUUCUUCAGGUGGGUGUGUGUAUACGCAUUGCUUUCUCAGGUGUGUGUGUGUAUACAGCAGUUGCUUCUCCGUUGUGUGUGUGUGUGUAUACAGUGAUAUGCUUUCUCAGGUGUGGUGUAUCUGCAGUGAUAUGUUUUAUCAGGUGUGUGGUGUGUGUAUACAGCGAUAUGCUUUUCUCAGGUGUGUGUGUGUAUACAGUGAUAUGCUUUCUCAGGUGUGUGUGUGUGUGUGUAUCUGCAGUGAUAUGCUUUCUCAGGUGUGUGUGUAUCUGCAGUGAUAUGCUUUCUCAGGUGUGUGUGUAUCUGCAGUGAUAUGCUUUCUCAAGUGUGUGUGUAUCUGCAGUGAUAUGUUUUCUCAGGUGUGUGUGUGUGUAUACAGCAGUCUGCUUUCUCAGCCCUGGGUCAGACUGAGUGGAGGUUACAAGAAGAGCAGAACAGUCAGGAAGUGAGACUGAUAUCACCAUAGUAAGUAGUGUAGAAGAGAAUUAAGACAUUCUCUCUGUUGUCAUGUGCUACUAGUCUCUCGCUCUUCCUCUCUCCAUCUCUCUCUUCGGCCCAGGUGAACCUGAGUAUCGUGUGUUUCAGUGCAAACCGCAGAC
rnacentral:lncRNA from 1 species